GUGUGCGAGUCAUUGGGUAUAUUGUUGAAACCUAAGGGCGCAAUUAAAAUAACUAUUUUAUGGGAUUACAAGUGAAUUAAAUUUCAUUUCUUCAUCCCGGGGCGUUCUAUACGAACAUGAUGCAAGCAAUUGAAUCCUCUGUUCAAGAGCGUACCUUGAGCAUACAUGCUGUGACCCGAAAGAUGGUGAACUAUACCUGAUCAGAUCGAAGCCAGGAGAAAUUCUGGUGGAGGAUCGAAACAGUUCUGACGUGCAAAUCGAUUGUCAGAAUUGGGUAUAGGGGCGAAAGACCAAUCGAACCAUCUAGUAGCUGGUUCCCUCCGAAGUUUCCCUCAGGAUAGCUGGCGCAAAGAAUUAUAUUGUAUAUAAUCUUAUCUGGUAAAGCGAAUGAUUAGAGGCCUUGGGGCCGAAACGACCUCAACCUAUUCUCAAACUUUAAAUGGGUAAGAACCUCAUCUUUCUUGAUCUGAAGAUAUUGGGGUUUAGAUAUAUUGUGCCCAGUGGGCCACUUUUGGUAAGCAGAACUGGCGCUGUGGGAUGAACCAAACAUGAUGUUACGGCGCCUAAAUUAAUGACUCAUAUUGAUACCAUGAAAGGCGUUGGUUGCUUAAAACAGCAGGACGGUGGACAUGGAAGUCGUAAUCCGCUAAGGAGUGUGUAACAACUCACCUGCCGAAGCAACUAGCCCUUAAAAUGGAUGGCGCUCAAGUCAUAUGCCUAUACAUCAUCGCUAGAAUAAAAAUUGUUGGCCAUUCGGUCAUCAUUGUGAAAUUCUAGUGAGUAGGAGGGUACAAUGGUGUGCGCAGAAGUGUUUGGCGUGAGCCUGCAUGAAGCCGCCAUUGGCACAGAUCUUGGUGGUAGUAGCAAAUAAUCGAAUGAGAUCUUGGAGGACUGAAGUGGAGAAGGGUUUCGUGUGAACAGUGGUUGAUCACGAGUUAGUCGGUCCUAAGCUUUAUGCGAAAGCUGUUUAAUUUAUGUUACACACAAAAUUUUUGUUGUACAUAAUUCAAUAAAAGCGAAAGGGAAUACGGUUCCAAUUCCGUAACCUGUUGAGUAUACGUUUGUUUAUUAAAAAUGGGUCUUAUUACACUCAUCCUGGCAACAGGAACGACCAUAGAGAAGCCUUCGAGAGAUACUGGAAGAGUUUUCUUUUCUGCUAAACAAGCGUACCACCAUGGAAGUCUUUUAUAGAGAGAUAUGGUGGAUGGCUUGGAAGAGCAUGACAUUUACUGUUGUGUCAGUAUUUUCUCCUUGGACCUUGAAAAUCUAUGGUGGGGCCACGCAAACUUCUCAACAGACCGUACCGAUAUCCGCAGCCG
rnacentral:rRNA from 1 species